rnacentral:rRNA from 1 species
GACAGAGGGGCCGAGCGUUAGGCGGAAUCACUGGGCUUAAAGCGUGUGUAGGUGGAUGCCUAAGUACCUUGUGAAAUCCCACGGCUUAACCGUGGAACUGCUUGGUAUACUGGGUGUCUUGAGCCAGCUAGGGGCUACCGGAACAAAUGGUGGAGCGGUGAAAUGCGUAGAUAUCAUUUGGAACGCCAAUGGUGAAAACAGGUAGCUGGGGCUGUGCUGACACUGAGACACGAAAGCCAGGGGAGCGAACGGG